CAGAUACCCAAAUAUGUUCCACUCCAACGAGAGGGAUUUCAUGGUGAAAAACUACCGGGAAGAGUCGCAUAUACCCAAAUAUGUUCCACUCCAAUGAGAGGGAUUUCAUGGUGAAAAACUACCGGGAAGAGUCGCAUAUACCCAAAUAUGUUCCACUCCAACGAGAGGGAUUUCAUGGUGAAAAACUACCGGGAAGAGUCGCAU